GCAUAUCAAUAAGCGGAGGAAAAGAAACUAACUAAGGCAUCCCUUAGUAACUGCGAAGUGAAGCGGGAAAAGCUCAAAUUUAAAAUCUGGCGGUCUUUGGCCGUCCGAGUUGUAGUCUGGAGAAGUGUCUUCCGCGCUGGACCGUGUACAAGUCUCCUGGAACGGAGCGUCGUAGAGGGUGAGAAUCCCGUCUUUGACACGGACUACCAGUGCUUUGUGAUGCGCUCUCAAAGAGUCGAGUUGUUUGGGAAUGCAGCUCAAAAUGGGUGGUGAAUUCCAUCUAAAGCUAAAUAUUGGCGAGAGACCGAUAGCGAACAAGUACCGUGAGGGAAAGAUGAAAAGCACUUUGGAAAGAGAGUUAAACAGUACGUGAAAUUGCUGAAAGGGAAACGAUUGAAGUCAGUCGCGUCGUCCGGAACUCAGCCUUGCUUCGGCUCGGUGCACUUUCCGGUUGACGGGCCAGCAUCGAUUUUGACCGUCGGAAAAAGGUCGAGGGAAUGUGGCACCUUCGGGUGUGUUAUAGCCCUCGGUCACAUACGACGGUUGGGAUCGAGGAACUCAGCACGCCUUUAUGGUCGGGGUUCGCCCACGUAACGUGCUUAGGAUGCUGGCGUAAUGGCUUUAAACGACCCGUCUUGAAACACGGACCAAGGAGUCUAACAUGCCUGCGAGUGUUCGGGUGGAAAACCCGUGCGCGCAAUGAAAGUGAAAGUUGAGAUCCCUGUCGCGGGGAGCAUCGACGCCCGGCCCAGAAGUUUUCUGACGGUGCUGCGGUAGAGCAUGUAUGUUGGGACCCGAAAGAUGGUGAACUAUGCCUGAAUAGGGUGAAGCCAGAGGAAACUCUGGUGGGAGGCUCGUAGCGAUUCUGACGUGCAAAUCGAUCGUCAAAUUUGGGGUAUAGGGGGCGAAAGACUAAUCGAACCAUCUAGUAGCUGGGUACUGCGA
rnacentral:rRNA from 1 species